rnacentral:rRNA from 1 species
ACGCUGGCGGCGUGCCUAAUACAUGCAAGUAGAACGCUGAAGGAGGAGCUUGCUUCUCUGGAUGAGUUGCGAACGGGUGAGUAACGCGUAGGUAACCUGCCUGGUAGCGGGGGAUAACUAUUGGAAACGAUAGCUAAUACCGCAUAACAGUAGAUGUUGCAUGACAUUUGCUUAAAAGGUGCAAUUGCAUCACUACCAGAUGGACCUGCGUUGUAUUAGCUAGUUGGUGGGGUAACGGCUCACCAAGGCGACGAUACAUAGCCGACCUGAGAGGGUGAUCGGCCACACUGGGACUGAGACACGGCCCAGACUCCUACGGGAGGCAGCAGUAGGGAAUCUUCGGCAAUGGACGGAAGUCUGACCGAGCAACGCCGCGUGAGUGAAGAAGGUUUUCGGAUCGUAAAGCUCUGUUGUAAGAGAAGAACAGGUGUGAGAGUGGAAAGUUCACACUGUGACGGUAUCUUACCAGAAGGGGACGGCUAACUACGUGCCAGCAGCCGCGGUAAUACGUAGGUCCCGAGCGUUGUCCGGAUUUAUUGGGCGUAAAGCGAGCGCAGGCGGUUAGAUAAGUCUGAAGUUAAAGGCUGUGGCUUAACCACAGUACGCUUUGGAAACUGUUUAACUUGAGUGCAAGAGGGGAGAGUGGAAUUCCAUGUGUAGCGGUGAAAUGCGUAGAUAUAUGGAGGAACACCGGUGGCGAAAGCGGCUCUCUGGCUUGUAACUGACGCUGAGGCUCGAAAGCGUGGGGAGCAAACAGGAUUAGAUACCCCUGGUAGUCCACGCCGUAAACGAUGAGUGCUAGGUGUUAGACCCUUUCCGGGGUUUAGUGCCGCAGCUAACGCAUUAAGCACUCCGCCUGGGGAGUACGACCGCAAGGUUGAAACUCAAAGGAAUUGACG